AUGCAUGUUGCUACCCCCGGGCGCAUUGUCUUGGUCAAAGCGGUCCUCACGGCCAUUGCGAUCUACCAUCUCACGCCGCUAGAGCUGCCUGUUGAGGUCUGGAAAAAGAUUGACAGCCUGCGACGUGCCUACCUUUGGGUUGGUUGUGAUAAGGUGUCGGGCGGAAAGUGCAAGGUUAACUGGGAUCUUGUUUGCAAGCCUAAGAUUUUUGGCGGCUUGGGUGUGCUUAAUCUCAAGAAGUUUGCGACCGCCCUUCGUCUUCGCUGGCUUUGGUUUGAAUGGGCAGACCCUCCUAAGACUUGGUUGGCGAUGGAAACGCCCUGUUCAAACAGUGACAGAGAUUUGUUCUCGGCUUCCACAAUAGUGACUAUUGGGGAUGGCAAAAAAGGCUAA
rnacentral:rRNA from 1 species